AUUGGACAACCAUGGCGAUCACGGGUAACGGGGAAUUAGGGUUCGAUUCCGGAGAGGGAGCCUGAGAAAUGGCUACCACAUCUAAGGAAGACAGCAGGCGCGUAAAUUGCCCAAUCCUAAUUCAGGGAGGUAGUGACAAGAAAUAACAACUCGGACCUCACAUGAGGUUACGAGAUUGCAAUGAGAACAAUUUAAACCACUUGUCGAGUAACAAUUGGAGGGCAAGUCUGGUGCCAGCAGCCGCGGUAAUUCCAGCUCCAAUAGCGUAUAUUAAAGUUGUUGCAGUUAAAAAGCUCGUAGUUGAAUUUCUGGCCAGCGCUGUACUGGCUCCCUGAGUCGGUGCAGUGCUUGGUCAUCCGUAUGGGAAGCUAGCUCGGCCUUCACUGGUCGGCUAGUGGAUCAUACACUUUACUUUGAAAAAAUUAGAGUGUUUCAGGCAGGCAAUUGCUUGGAUACUUCAGCAUGGAAUAAUGGAAUAGGACUUUGACCUAUUUGUUGGUUUCUUGAGGUCAAAGUAAUGAUUAAUAGGGACAGUUGGGGGCAUUCGUAUUUAAUUGUCAGAGGUGAAAUUCUUGGAUUUAUUAAAGACGAACUUAUGCGAAAGCAUUUGCCAAGGAUGUUUUCA
rnacentral:rRNA from 1 species